rnacentral:rRNA from 1 species
ACACGUAGGGGGCGAGCGUUGUUCGGAAUCAUUGGGCGUAAAGGGCGCGCAGGCGGCCGGGUAAGUCUGGUGUAAAAUGGUCAUGCUCAACAUGAUCAUGCGCUGGAAACUGCUUGGCUUGAGUCAACGAGGGGAUGCCGGAAUUCCAGGUGUAGGGGUGAAAUCUGUAGAUAUCUGGGAGAACACCGAUGGCGAAGGCAGGCAUCUGGCGACUGACUGACGCUGAGGCGCGAAGGUGCGGGGAGCAAACAGGUUUAGAUACCCUGGUAGUCCGCACAGUAAACGAUGUGCACCAGGUGGCGGGCAGCAGUGCUCGGUACCGAAGCAAACGCAUUAAGUGCACCGCCUGGGGAGUAUGCUCGCAAGGGUGAAACUCAAAUGAAUUGACGGGG